rfam:Streptococcus ratti FA-1 = DSM 20564 Contig029, whole genome shotgun sequence.
UGAGUGUUACGAUGAUGGAAUUUUAAGAAUUCUUAGUCUAGCUCUGGUCUGCCACUAGGAGCCUCUCCUAGUGG